rnacentral:rRNA from 1 species
GAUUGUAGUCUGCAACUCGACUACAUGAAGCUGGAAUCGCUAGUAAUCGUAGAUCAGCAUGCUACGGUGAAUACGUUCCCGGGUCUUGUACACACCGCCCGUCACACCACGAGAGUUUGUAACACCCGAAGCCGGUGGAGUAACCAUUUAUGGAGCUAGCCGUCGAAGGUGGGACAAAUGAUUGGGGUGAAGUCGUAACAAGGUAGCCGUAUCGGAAGGUGCGGCUGGAUCACCUCCUUUCUAAGGA